CAAUCGGUGUACGUAGUUAAGGUAUCCAGAGAGUGACCAUCGAUCCGGCCAUCGAGGACGGCUUGAAUUGUUGCGGCAUAAAGGACCAAGCGGCCUUCAGCAUCCAACCGGAAUAAUCGAGCCAAUGGAUUCGGCAUUACGGUACGGGCUACGUGCGUACCGGCGUCCGGCCCAGGAAGCGCACAAAAAAGGGCCCGAUCGAUGGUCACCGGACGAGGUUAGCAUCAUGGGUUCGCGUUAAACAAAACUGGUUUUAUUCUUGCUAACCUGAUGGUCUUCGUCUUGGUUGGCAUGAUUAGGUCGCCGACUCCUCGAGUGCACGGACGCGGAGGGCAAGGCCAAAUGGCCGACACGGCGGCCGCGCCACUUCUUCUUCCUCCUCUUCUCUUCUCUUCUUUGCUGUUGGCGUUUUCUGCCGGUGCUGCUGGGCACGGAAUCUUUGCCGCUGUUCCAAUGGCUGCGGCCUGCGGGGCAAUGCUGACCCGAACAGUAGUUUCCCGCCCUUCCUGCAAUGUUUUCUGGAAGCUAUAUAGAUCGUGACAUGAUGGCCACGUCGGCGUUACUGUGCGUGACAUGAUUUUAUUCCGUCUCGCAG
rnacentral:lncRNA from 1 species